AACUCACAACGGCUACCUGAAGUGAGUUUUAAUAUCUAUGGAGCU
rnacentral:ncRNA from 1 species